UGCCAGCAGCCGCGGUAAUACGAAGGGGGCUAGCGUUGUUCGGAAUUACUGGGCGUAAAGAGUACGUAGGUGGUUUGUAAGUCGGAUGUGAAAUCCCUGGGCUUAACCUGGGAACUGCAUUCGAUACUGCAUGGCUAGAGUAUGGUAGAGGGAAGUGGAAUUUCCGGUGUAGCGGUGAAAUGCGUAGAUAUCGGAAGGAACACCAGUGGCGAAGGCGACUACCUGGACCGAUAUUGACACUGAGGUGCGAAAGCGUGGGGAGCAAACAGGAUUAGAUA
rnacentral:rRNA from 1 species